AUUGAACGCUGGCGGCAGGCCUAACACAUGCAAGUCGAGCGAGCGGCGGACGGGUGAGUAAUGCCUGGGAAUUGCCCAGUCGAGGGGGAUAACAGUUGGAAACGACUGCUCAUACCGCAUACGAUUGGAUUGCCCAGGUGGGAUUGGCUAGUUGGUGCGGUAAUGGCUCACCAAGGCGACGAUCCCUAGCUGGUCUAAGAGGAUGAUAAGCCACACAGGAACGGAAACACGGACCAGACUCCUACGGGAGGCAGCAGUGGGGAAAAUUGCACAAUGGGGGAAACCCAGAUGAAGCCAUGCCGCGUGUGUGAAGAAGGCCUUCGGGUUGUAAAGCACAUUCAGCGAGGAGGCGGUACUCGCAGAAGAAGCACCGGCUAACUCCGUGCCAGCAGCCGCGGUAAGAG
rnacentral:rRNA from 1 species